ACCACCGAUUUGGUCGAGUGCGCUGAGAUGUCGAUUCACGCGUGCUCACGUUUUUCGAGUGGCGGUUCGAGUGCCGCCGAGGUUGUGUCGAGA
ensembl:ncRNA sncRNA:CR43701 small non-coding RNA:CR43701